CCAUAUACGUCUUUAGUCAUGCCUAAAGUGGGUGUGGUUAGUGGUGUGGUAAACCGCCCUUUUAUUACUUCAUCUGUAUGCGCCUCUAGUAAGUCACAUGGUUAAUGGCGGCAUACAGGCUUUCCCCUACAGGUCAUUGUUGUCUUCCUUAAAAAUUCCUAGUUAAUGGUCCACCAGUGAGAUGGUUCAGUAUGUAAGGGGCCUUGCUUCUCAUCCUAAUGAUCUGAAUUUGACCCUUGGGGCCCACAUAUGAGAAGCAGUGAAUCCACUGACCUAUAUAAGGGCUCCAUGUCCUGAGUCAAGCAGAUGCACACAUAUACACUUAGAAAAUAAGAAGUAAAUAAAAUAAUUUAAAAAGAAUGUAUCUCAAAACUUUUUUUCUUUACAAAAGAGAAAACUCUGAAAUUUCAGGAAAACAUGCCAAAAGUUUUUGUUUAAUUUUUCUCUCUUCCUGUGUUCUGAUUUGUCUUUGGAGAUUUCUCUACUUAACCAUACUAACUUAGCAUUCUCACCAUCAGGAGUGUUUUCUGAAUACAAAGUCUUUGCAAGAUCCCACCAUGUAGGAACUGGUUUGAUGGUGCUCUGAGUUCUGGAAUCCAUCUUUUUCCAAGGUUGACUACAUGAUGUUGGGCAAAGCAAGGGCAUUCCUGAGGUCUGCUUUAGAUGUAAGUUGCUAAAAAUAUGUGUAUUGGGGCCAGUUCAAGAACUUUGUUUCCAUUUUUGUUUGCCUAAUUGGACAGAUUUUAGACAAAAGGAUUUGUACCAUGCUUCUUUGUCAUCUGCUGUGUAUAGCAGCUGAACUGUUUUUUUUUUUUUUUUUUGCUAUAAGUCAAUCUUAGAGGAUCCUUUUCUGUAGAUUUUGGGGAGAUGUUUGAAGCUAAAUACCAUUAUAGCUUCUUGUCAGCAGCUAAACUGAUGAAAGACUAAGGUCUAUUAGACUUGACAAAGAUGUGACUUACAUAUUCAAGAGAAAUUGAAUCUUGUUUAUAAAAGAUCGGAUGAUGCAAUAGGCAUAGAGUAACAUUGGGGAUAGUGUAGGUCAGAUCUAAAUUUCUGCUGGGUGACAGUUUUCAGAUGGGAAACUUGGGAAUAAUGCCAUCAUGGGAAUAUUGGUUUUCAUAAAUCUUAGUACUUUUAUUAGGAUAUUUUCUUUAAUAAGGUGUAAGAUAAAAGUCGUUUUAAUCUUAUUGUGUCUUUAGCAUGAGCUUCAAAGUAAUGUCAAACUCUUAGUAUGUAAAUUUUUAUUUCUCCUAAAAGUACAAUAUAAAGUCAAGGAAAGUUUUUGAUAAGGCAUAAUAAACAUGAAGUCUAUUAUGUAAAAGUAGACUUGUAAUCAUAUGGUGACAUUUUAAAGGUUCUUCUAUGUCAGAACUUCCUAACAUUUCCUUUGAGACUAACAAUACAGCUUGCAUGCCUUGCAUUGUGUGUGGAAAGAAAAUAGAUUCAAAUGAUUUCUCCAUUUUUACUCCCUAGGUCACUGGUGUUUGAAACUAAACAGAUUUGUUGAGUUAUAUGAUAUUGUUGUCAUUGUAUACAUGAGAUAACAGACAUAGGGACAUUUUUUCUUUGACAACAUAAAUUAUGACAGCUGACAAAUAUAUUAACACAUGAUUAAAAGGUUGAUGGUAAAGGACAGAGGACAUAGGUCAUUAUGAACAUGUGCUAAGCAUAGGUGAGGUGAGUUCACAAAGGUUUCUUAGUACCACUUGCACACAAAAGGAGAAAGUAGGGUGCUGUUACCUGUCUGCAUCUGUUAACAGGAGUAUCUGCAUUUUAAUGACUGGGAAGGAAACAGUUCAAGAGAACACCACGAACAGCAAUUAAGUCAGUAUUUUCUGACUCUUCUCUUCUGGCUCUAUGGCCAUGGCAGGAAAUCUGCCCUCUCCAUUGUUGUUAUCUAACUUGGAGUGCAUAUACAGAAUUCAUUUACAGUAAGUUCUUUUCAGUAAGUGGUGAAUUCUGAAUGUGCCCAGAUGCCCAUUCUUCUAACAGACCAGCAAUCAUCUGCAUGCUUUGAUUGGUAGACAUUGUUGAGGUCAUGGUAUUAAAAGAUCGAUGGCACCAUCAUUGCUUUGGAAUCGGUGUGUCUGAUGAAGGUCGCAGCCACAUGCACAGUUCUACCAAACUUAUGCUCAGAGUCACUCAGAUCAGUGUUUAGAUUUGCUUUAUCAUUUAUACAGAUGGAGAUUGUUGCAGCAUUUACAUCUUCACAUUCAAAACGUCAGCCUCUUUCAUUUUUAUUUGAAUUUAAAAAAUUAUUUUCUAUUUAUUUUCAAAUAAUUGAAGGAAAUAGUUGUUCAUGAUAUCUUCCAAAAUUCAAUUUCCUUAGUAAUGCCAUUGAUAGGACAAUGUACUUAAAUGCUUGCUUUAGGAUUAAGGAUAAUUUGUAUAAUGCCAGAAAUAGCAAUAAUAAUUCAGCACAUAGUCUUUUAUCCAAUUUAUGAAAAGCAUGCUGCCUUAAUGUAAUUUCCUAACUGGAAAUGCAGAUAGAGUAAUCUAAUUAAGUUGGAAUCUUAAAGUCACAAAGACAGAAUUGUCUGGAAGUGUAUUUGAAGGGAUUCAUGUCUCAAAUGCCAAGCAGACAUGUGUGAAUUCACAAAAACCAUUGGCUUUGCAUCUUUUUACUUAAAGAAUAUUAGUUUCAUUUAUGUAUGUUUUAUACACACUUGAAUAUUCAAGAAACCCUCAAGUUUGAAAUAGCAAAUGCCCAGAUUCAUACUUAUUCAUAUUUUUGGUAUAGCCAUGCCUAGUUAAUGAUAGGCAAAUAAGAAGUUGCCAUUGUCAAAUAUGACAUUGUUUUUAAAUAAUGUAAUUACGUUUUUAAGUAACAAAUAUGAUAGCAGUAUUUUAUGAAAAAAUGAGUAUUACAAAGUUCCUAUGUUCCAAUUUAAUAAAAUUCAUUCAUUUGCAAAUUCAUAUUAGACAAGAAUACUUAAUACUUGCCCAAAUCUAGGUAUACAUAAAAUUUCCUAAAUAGGUGGAGGUAUAUAUUUAUAAAUACAAUUUUAAGCAAUAAAUUUGAGAGAUGUGUCUGUUGCAAAAGAAAUAUUUUGUCUUAAAUCUUCUGACCUUCCAUUCCUCAAAACCAGUGUAGAGAAAAAAUGACAGUAGGGUCCAUUGAUAGAUAAAUUGCCCUCCCUGAUCUCCACUCUUUGGGAGACAAGUAGCAGGCUGGCCUUGAACUCAUGAUCUUUCUGUCUGCACCUGCUGUUUGUAGUAUUGCAUGCUUGACUAAGUAGCAUUUUUUAAAAUGUAGUAUAAUUCUUCCAAUGAGUGCUGAAAUAUUGUUCCAAACAGGGAAGGUUAUUUUCCAGUAGAAAUACAGACACAAACUGGAAAUGAAUAAACUGGCACAGCUUCUCAGAGUCAUUUUAUAUCACCAUUCCUGCCAGUGUUCUUACCCUAAUGGUUGAAUGAUAAUUUCAAGUAUACUGUGUUAAAUUCUGUUAUUUCUGCCAUGAGGAAGUAUUGAAUGAAGUAUAUGUCUCUUUCCCAUUGGGACCUUGAGAUUAAAACUGUCAUUCUUCCAGAUAAAACAUCCUCUCAGGAAAGAACCCCCCCAAAUAAUUUAUUAUUUCUAGCUUGUCUCUUCUACUGUUCUUCAUUUGGAGUUUACUUCCAGUAUGUGAAAUUUUGAGAUUUCUCAAUAUCCUUUUGCAUGUAUAUUCUAUGAAUUGAAUAUUUUUCUCUAGCAGAGACAUUUAAGCUGAGUGAAAAAUGAAUUUUCAUAGAACAAAAUUGCCAAGCAUAUGUGCCUGAACUGUAGGGAAGAGGCGUACAACUUUAAUCUGCAAAAAUGCUUAAAAAUAGCUCUAUGGUGGCUAUGUAUGAGGCCUGAAAACCGACAUUUCUCAUUUUGGCAGCAUUCACCUACAGGCUCCUAUCUGCACCAGAACACAUUCAUCCCGGGGAAAAUGAUUAAUGAGCUGCCUCUCAUCUCUGCUUCUUUUGUACGGAGUAGUGGAGGCUUCAGUUGAUGAUACUCUAGCCAUCAGCAUUCUUACUGAGACCGAAUCUGCCACUACAGAGUUGUGCUAGGACAAUACGCAUCUCAAAAAAAAAAAUUACAACAUUAACGAUAACAAGGCCUUUUCUUGGUUACUGUCCUGUCAAGCAGGUUUUGUUGUUUUCCUUCCGGGAGCAGUAUAAAAUCUUACGUUCUUGACAAUAUCUGAGGACUUCCAGUUCUUUUUCUGAACUUUCUGAUACUGGUCUUGCUUCUUAGCCCAGAAUUCCUCCUACCUCAGUAUUCUGGAUCCUGGGAAUGCAGAUGUGUGCCAUUAUGCCUGGCCUGUUCUUUUUGUUAGUCACUGGCAUGUUGUAGACUUGCAGAUGUAUCCAUGGUGAGCAAUACAACUGCCAAAUUAUCUUAGACUGACAUGUGAUUGUCAGAUACUCUUGUAUUUGAGCAAGCAGAUGUUGGAAGAAAGGAUAAGAAAGGACAUUGAGCUGUCAGGACAAAGUGGACUACAUUCUAAAGUAGAUGGCAGAAAAUGUGGGUCUACAUAGCCUAUGAAAAUAGGACAGCUUGUGGUUUUGGUAAAAGAUACAUACAAGGAAAAGGAAUGGGGCUUAGAACUUGUAUUUUAGCAUCUCUACCUCUGGUAUUGUCAUCAUUCUGAAUUUAAACUGCUCUCUCAUUUACUUGUAGCUCCCAGUUUGCCCAAUCCGCUUAUAUUUCCUCUGUUCCUUUCUCCGAAUUUUCUAAGACCAAUUGUUUAUCCUACCUCUGAGUAAGGUUCACCCAGCUCAAGUGCAUAUGCCCCCAGAGCCAAGACUGAUUUUGCAGGGAGUGAAACCAUCCCUAUACUUAAUGAUUCUUUCCAGAGUCUAGCAGUUAGGUGGUGGUGGGUGGUGCUGAGUGCUUUUUAAGAAGCAGCUAGGAAAGGCUGUUUUGAGCAUUGCUAGAGGGCAUUUUUACCCAAUAUUGAUUAGAUAGCCAUUUUCUUGUAUUUGGCUAAGUGGGCAGAAAGGGAUUCGUAGUAAGAAGCAGCAUUGAAGUGGUAAGAAAAAAAGAGGAAGGUGGGUGGAUUUCUACAAGAUUUUUCCCUUUAUCUUUUCAAUUCUCCGGUAAGAAUUAGUACUCUUUUCAGCUGGCUAGGCCAAGCUUUGCCUGUUUUAACUGUUGGGUGAUGAGUAAGCAAUGAACACAGCCUUCUCUGUGCUUGAUUCAAGUAGCUUAUCAUUCACACUUUUUCUCAGACCCCGCUGCAGCACAGCAUUCUAGUCAGCAGCUGCCAACUGAUAGUUCAUCUGUUGUCCAUUUUUAACUCAACCACUUAAUUGGAGUCUGAAUAAUAGGACCGACAAGAUUAUAAAUAAAGUAGAAGAAAAAGGGUCAUUCUGGGAAGCAUUCUAAUUGGGUAGUAAACUAGAAUUAGGUCUGUGGUCUAGAUUGAAGUCUGGCACUCUUCUAUUUGUCAUUUUGUCUGUUUUCUUUAAGGGUGUGGCCCUGGUAGAUUCACCAUGCUCCAGUGGAUGGCCCCACUCCCAAGAACUCUAUGGGAUGUUAAAAAAAAUAAAUAAACGUCCCCCAGUCCACUGUCAAAAGAAACAGGACCUGAAGUCCAGAACCAGGUUGAGACUGAUGUCUCAGUUUGAGAGAUUGUUAUACAUACAAAGUGAAUAGCAGUCAGAUUGAGCAUAAUCUUGCAUAAAUAGACACGUUAUAAAAUAUUGCUGUGAAACUAAUAUCUUAAAGCCCUAUAUAAAUGGAAUCUUUAUUUGCAUGAUUAUGCCAUAUGAAAAGUUAUGAAGGCCAGAUGUGGUAGUAUAUGCCUAUAAUGCAGCAGUCAGAUGUGAAGGCAGGAGAAUUAUAAGUCUGAGGCCAGCCUAAGCUACACAGUGAAAACCUGUCUUAAGAAAAUAAAAAGACAAAAAUAACUCAGAAAUUAUCCUUUAGAAAAGUUUCCAAAUACCAUAAAAGUUUAUAUAAUCUUGUGCCUAAAUUUUUUAUCAAUAUAGUUAGAUGUUUUGCCUAAAGCAAGGGAUCUGUCUUUAGUUUUCAUACAGUGGUUUAGCUAUUUUAGCAACAUUCCCUUUUCAUUUUAAAGUCUGCUGUCUUAGUUUUGCCUUUGCAGACAAGAUUACAGAAUUGCAGUAAAACAGAAAGAUCCUCUAAGCAGGUUACAGUAUAUUUGAAAAUAUACAAAGGCUUGAGAGAGAAAAGAGAAAGGGUAUUGACAGUCAUAAAAUAUAUUUUAAAAAUUAUAGUAGUUAAUCAAACUUAUAGUCAUUUUAGGUAUGUUUUUAAGGUUAUACAGAUGUAUAUUUUAGAUAGAAGGUAUUUUAAAAUACUUUAACAACCUAAGGCUUUUUGUGACAGUGAGACACGUCUGCUCCUGACAGCACCAAUCUACUUCAAAAGAGGAAUGAUGAGUAUCAAUAAACCUCUGUAUGGAGUUCACUUGCUUUAUGGCAAAAGAUAGCCAUUUCAGCAAAUGCACCCUUUCCUCAACUGCUGACAGUAUACUGUCCAAACUGGAUCUUGGACCAGCAGGAUACACACACACACACACACACACACACACACACACACACACACACACACAAACAACAAAAACGAAAAACAAAACAAAAUCCCAAAACGAAAACCAAAACUGUCAAACUUUGUCAAGAUAAGGUGGGCUAGUCCUUCAAAAUUCUCUGCUUCUCAAAAAAGUCUGUCAGAUAUACUAAUUUGGAUAUGGAUGUCCCAACAUGACAAAAGAACUAUGAAUGACUUAACCCUGCCAUGCAGCUUAGUUUGUGAUAUGCUGGUGGGGCUUGCUCUGGAGACUCAAGCCUGCAGGCAGCAGCUAGUAGACAUCUGUACCAUGGCCCAUGUAAAGGACUGUGUUUGACUUCAUUUUGUGUGUGUGUGUUUAGAACCUUUUCUUAAGCAUUUUUAGGUUUUAUGUGGAUAUAUGUGGCCUUACCCCAUGUUGGAAUGCCAUUUGUAGACAGAAUUUUCCAUCUAGACCACUAUCAGCUCUCCUGCCAGCUGCUCCCCAAAUAACCACAUGGAGAUUUAGUACUAAUUAUAAAUGCUCCGUCAAUAACUUUGGCUUGUUUUUUAGCUCGCUCUUAUAACUUAAGUUAACCCAUUUCUAUUAAUCUAUGAGCUGCCCUGAGACUUGUUUACCUGAAGUUUUUUUCUUGAGUCUGGCUCACGACUCCUGACUCCACCUUCUUCCAGUAUUCUCUCUGCCCCCAAAAUCCUAUCUAGUUAUCGGAUUAUCAGCUUUUUAUUAAAAAUGAGAACAAUACAUCUUCACAGUAUAUAGAAGGAUUAUUCCACAACAGCACCAAAUGAUAUCUUAAACUUACAAAUUUUUUUUUUCUGAGUAGCUUUUCCUUUGAGCUUUCAGUUGGGUCACAGAACACAGGAGUAUUGUACUUGUUUAUUUGAACACACCUCAUUUUAAAAGUUCAAAUGUUCUCAUAAUGUAUUUUCACUGGAUUGUUUAAAAUAUAUCCUUAAGUUUACACCUCAGAGUUUAGAUCAUAUGAUGAAAGACCGAGGGAAAAUGGCAACACAGAACCAGUUUUAUUUUCUGGAGAAGUAAUUUUACUUCUUUAAGAAGGAAUAAGGCAGGCUAUUAGUGCUAAUUUUAGCAGAGUGGUCCUGUGAAAACCAAGGACAAUAAAUCACACCAUUUUAUCUCCACUGGUAACUAAGUUUACAUUUGGGAAAGUCACUGUAUUAGUUCAUCAUGAGAAAACAGGGAAAGACUUUUAAUCUCAUUUUUUUUGAAAAUAAGAACAGUAUAAAUGUCAUAUUUAAUCCCAACUUGUUUUCAUAAUUUAUAUGUACUAUUGGAAGUGAAGCAAACUGCCCAGAGGCCCAGUCCUUUUAGGUCACUGGUUUCCAGUAGAAAAAUAAGUCUACAAAAAUCUGCUGGUUUGGAAGCAAUGGCUCCUAAUUACUUCUGCUUCUUCUCUAAUUCUCCAGUAUGUUCAUCUGGAAAACAUUUAGUCAUUUCUAAGGAAAUUCCAAAAUGAGGCAAUCCCUGGUCCACUGUCUGCCUUGCAUAAAAGGUCAACUACAUGGCCAACUAAACCAAAACAUUUCUGAGACAUAUGGAAGAAAUAAUUUGCUAAAAGUAACUCUGAUCAUUUCAAAGGGCAGAUGAAGCUCUUAAAUAAGUGUAUUCAGUUAUCAGGCUUAGUGUUUUAAUGUAAUUUAAAGCCUCUCAAAAGCAAAAGAAAUAUUACAAUGUUUCAGUGAAAUGUGCUGUUUCUAUUUGUCUUAAAUUCACUUGACACUAUUUGACUAGUUAUGUAUGCAGUUGAACUAAUGAAAAUGAGCAUUGGUAUCUUAUACCUAGACAGUGCAUAAUGUAAUAGUAUUAACUUUUAAUUAAUAAUUAUCCAUCAACAAAGAGCUUCCUGAUUAUUAAGUUUUAAAAAUCCAGGUAACAAGGUAUACAAUUUUUCUACUCAGUAGAACUAUUAUUAAAUAAGAUUUAUUACCUUAACAUUUUAUGAUGUGAGAUUUUCUUGAGUAAUAAUUCAAACUGUGAAAAAUGAAGUUGCUUGGAAAAUGAGACUUGGAAAAUAGUUAAGUCAGUGCUAAGUAUGGCACUGACCUAAACUCUUGCUCUAGUCAUCUGUAUUUUCUUCCAAAUUGUGGCAUUCGUUUGAUAACUGCUUUCAAGUUUUCUGAUCUGUAUUUGCUCACCCAAAGAAACAAUCAUGUUGUAACAGAAUUUUUUAAUAUGCAGAAACCAGUGUAUUUCAGACUACAUGUUUUAAAAUGAUGAAUUACAAUACAUCUUAAUUUCCUGUUAGUAUUUUGUAAUAUGAAAGCAGAAGCAAUAUUAACUGCAAUUUUAAUCCUUGCAAUCAAGAGGAACAUAAUAUAUUAUAACUUGUUCAGAGCCUACAAUUCUGGUCUUAAUUAGCCAUCUCAUAUAUAACCCCAUCCUAUACAUCAAAUGGAGUCAUAAGAAACACAAAAGGCUUACAUCAAGCCAACAUCAGUAUCAGAAAGUAACUCAAAACAUGUGUUUUAGUGAUAUUCUAGGUCUCACACCAUCUUCAUAGGAGAGGCAACUUGAUGGCAUUAAGAUUAGCUUUAUCUUCAUAACAGAUAAGAAUAAAAUUCCAAGUGAAUUAGAUAAAGGAAGAAACUAAAUAGAAGUUUCACAAAGUAAAACUGUAUCUGGCAGAUUGAGAGUAUUUCUUUGAAACCUUGGAUCAAUUGAAUGCUAGCUAGUUAGUAAGAUAAGACACCUUGAGAGUAUACUAGCUGCUGUAGACAGAUUUCAGACUUUUAUGUGUAUCUUCAGUAAUUAGACGAGAACUUACCACCAAGUAUUUGUGGAAAGACAAUGGAUAUUAUAUUAAUAUAUUAAAAAUACAACCUCCAAAUUCUAUACAUUUACUAAUAACACUAGUUUGUUACUCAAGAGCAUUAAGCCCAAGAAAAGAUGCUUUCUGAUUUGUGUAUAAUUUUAUAUUGGAAAAAAAAACCUGAAGCUACACAGAACUACCACUUAAGGAAACCAUUAAAUUCUGAUAUUCCUUGUAAAAUUUCAAAUUUGAAUGUAUCAGUUAAGACUAUUACACUUCCAGAGAUGGUAUUUUUUUUACAAUGUUUUGUGUUAUCUCCUUUCUAUGUUUCUUACUUUUAUAGUUUUUAAAAGACAUAAUUGUGCCAUAUUAUAAAUGAAUGUAUUGAAACUAUCCUUUGCCUACCUUGAUAUUCUAUAGUCAACCAAAAUUUACUGAGUACUUUCUUGGAGUAAAAAAUUAACAUGUAAACAAUGUGGAAUAUGCUUUUGGCACAAUGAAAAUAUCCUAAGAUUGAGUAUGGUCAGCAAUUCUACACACACGAAAAAAAUCAUUGAAUUAUAUGCUCGAAAUAGGUGAACUGUAUGAUUUGUGAAUAAUACUUCAGUGAAAUCACUGCAGGAAAAAAUCUGGAAAGGUGGCAGUUCAGACAACAUUCCUUCAGUUGGUAGGCUGAUGGGACACCAUGGUAUACAUGGGAAGCAGCUCAGACAUGGCAGAGUUUAGCUACAGCCUCAUGCCAUUAGAACAAAGGACUCACUCAACAGGAAGCAGGGCCCUAGGCUGACUUAGCACAAUUUUUAGGACACUCUCAUUUGACAACACCGGGUUGGUUAACACAGAACUGGAGACUGACCCCUUCUCUAGUAUAUAAGACAAAACUUACUAGAAAUGGCUGAUGUCCCUCGUUUUCAACAUUCAUUUCUUAUAAUAAAAGGCUUUACCAUAACCAGCUAUGGUAAUGUUCUUUAAGUAAUCUGUAGAUUAUUUAAGGGCUAUAAAAACAUGAAAUUGAAGAUAAUAAAAUUAUACUGACCAAAAUAGUUGACAGCUUAAAGAUUUUGGCUCAUGGUUUCAGAAAGUCCAGCCUAUGGUCACAUGGCUCCCUAUCUGCGGACUCAUGGUUUGGCAGAACAUCACAGCAGCAGGAACUUGUGGAGGAGGAGGAUGCUCAUGGUAGACAAGAAGAGAAGGACCAGAGGCCAGGUCAUCCCCUUCCAAGCUGUGCUCCUAGUAACCUACUUAAUCUAGAUCUUUCCAAAAUAGAGCCCUAAAUGGGGAUCAGAUGCUUACCGCAUGAAUCUGUAGGGUAAUUUCAUAUUCAAAUGAUAACAUUGCACAUGUGACUAUAAAAAGAUCAUGGGCAUUUAAAGGCCAAAAUUCAGUUUGGCAAAGGUUAAAUUCUUGCAAUUUCAGAGGUGGCAUUUGUGGCUUGAUGUGGGAGUGUUAAUAGGUUGGGGCAGUUCUACCCUGAUGGCCUUGCCCAUUGUAGUCCAUGUGACCUCUCUUAGGUUGGCUCUACUUGUUGCCUAUAGUUUUCCUUUGCAGACAUUGAGAUUGCUUGUUUCUGGCAUCUUUAACACCCGAGACUCCAGUGCAGCUGAAGUUUCAUGUAUCACACUACCUGCAGGGACUUUGACUCAAAAACACUGUCUAGACUUCCAAGCUUUCCUUUAAAUAAAGGUGGAAUCCUUCAUGGCA